rnacentral:rRNA from 1 species
ACUGACGCUGAGGAGCGCAAAUGCGUGGGGCGUGAACAGGAUUAGAUACCCUGGUAGUCCACGCCGUAAUCGAUGAGUGCUAAGUGUUAGGGGGUUUCCGCCCCUUAGUGCUGCAGCUAACGCAUUAAGCACUCCGCCUGGGGAGUACGGUCGCAAGACUGAAACUCAAAGGAAUUGACGGGGGCCCGCACAAGCGGUGGAGCAUGUGGUUUAAUUCGAAGCAACGCGAAGAACCUUACCAGGUCUUGACAUCCUCUGACAAUCCUAGAGAUAGGACGUCCCCUUCGGAGCAGAGUGACAGGGUGGUGCAUGGUUGUCGUCAGCUCGUG